GACAGAGGAGCCAAGCGUUGUCCGGAUUGACUGGGCGUAAAGCGCACGCAGGCGGCCCGGCGCGUGGGGUGUGAAGGCUGGCGGCUUAACUGCCAGACGCCAUCCCAUACGGCUGGGCUCGAGCCCUGCAGACGGUCCAUGGAAUUGCCGGUGUAGUGGUGAAAUGCGUGAGAAGAUCGGCAGGAACACCCAGGGGGAAACCAGUGG
rnacentral:rRNA from 1 species